rnacentral:rRNA from 1 species
CGGUCACGUUCGUUGCAUUCAAUUAAUACACAAAUAAAGAUAUGACCGAAUACAAAAUUAAUUGUACUCAAAGUCAAGUUAUUAUAAGGUAUCUAUAAUCUGAAACGCAAUUAAGCAGACAGAUCACUCUACGAACUAAAAACGGCCAUGCACCACCUAUCACAUAAUCAUGAAAGGACUAUCAUAUUUGCAUAUAUUUUUAUAUAUUAAUUUAUAAUAAAUUAUAAAAAAAUAAAAAAAAAUAUAUUAUCACCUGUCAAUCCUCAGUGUGUACGGACCUGGUAAGGUAUCGCGCGUUGGGUCAAAUUAAGCCACACGCUCCACGCGUUCUUGUGGUGCCCUU